rnacentral:tRNA from 1 species
GUUCGGUGUGGCACGCGGCGUGCCGUGGCGGACAUGUCGGCUGUGGCGACACGGACCGCGGGGCCGGGCCGCCGGUUCGUGCCCGGUCGCCGGGCU